rnacentral:rRNA from 1 species
AGUGAACGCUGGCGGUAGGCCUAACACAUGCAAGUCGAACGGCAGCACAGUAAGAGCUUGCUCUUACGGGUGGCGAGUGGCGGACGGGUGAGGAAUACAUCGGAAUCUACUUUUUCGUGGGGGAUAACGUAGGGAAACUUACGCUAAUACCGCAUACGACCUACGGGUGAAAGCAGGGGAUCUUCGGACCUUGCGCGAUUGAAUGAGCCGAUGUCGGAUUAGCUAGUUGGCGGGGUAAAGGCCCACCAAGGCGACGAUCCGUAGCUGGUCUGAGAGGAAGAUCAGCCACACUGGAACUGAGACACGGUCCAGACUCCUACGGGAGGCAGCAGUGGGGAAUAUUGGACAAUGGGCGCAAGCCUGAUCCAGCCAUACCGCGUGGGUGAAGAAGGCCUUCGGGUUGUAAAGCCCUUUUGUUGGGAAAGAAAAGCAGCAGGUUAAUACCCCGCUGUUCUGACGGUACCCAAGGAAUAAGCACCGGCUAACUUCGUG